ACCCGCUGAACUUAAGCAUAUCAAUAAGCGGAGUA
rnacentral:rRNA from 1 species